rnacentral:rRNA from 1 species
AAACCAACCGGGAUUGCCUUAAUAACGGCGAGUGAGCGGCAAAGCUCAAAUUUGAAAUCUGGCGUCUUCGACGUCCGAGUUGUAAUUUGAAGAAGGUUACUUUGUAGCUGGUCCUUGUUUAUGUUCCUUGGAACAGGACGUCAUAGAGGGUGAGAAUCCCGUGUGGCGAGGAUACCAGUUAUAUGUAAAGUACUUUCGACGAGUCGAGUUGUUUGGGAAUGCAGCUCUAAGUGGGUGGUAAAUUCCAUCUAAAGCUAAAUAUUGGCGAGAGACCGAUAGCGAACAAGUACAGUGAUGGAAAGAUGAAAAGAACUUUGAAAAGAGAGUGAAAAAGUACGUGAAAUUGUUGAAAGGGAAGGGCAUUUGAUCAGACAUGGCGUUUGCUUCGGCUUUCGCUGGGCCAGCAUCAGUUUUGGCGGCUGGAUAAAUCCUCGGGAAUGUGGCUCUACCGUGGUAGAGUGUUAUAGCCCGUGGGAAUACAGCCAGCUGGGACUGAGGUUGCGACUUUUGCCAAAGAUGCUGGCGUAAUGGUUAAAUGCCGCCCGUC